UUUCUGAAUGUCUGAUAUGUAAUUCUUUUUUGCCUACAGAGUCCUAAAGACUGUUUUGGCUGACGGAACCUGUCGAAAGCUCACUCUCUAAUGGAGCGCCUGAAUCAACUGAGGAUCUCAUCGUUGAGAUCAAGAGACAGUGUGGUCUUCAGGGCAGUUUCAGACUUCAGUUUAUGGAUUCCUUGUUUGGGAAUGCGUUUCUUAACCUUACCUCGGUUUCAGAAGUAGUAGACAAAGGGACUCUUAAAGCUAUUGACAUGUCAAAGCCCACCACAUGGACAUAAAAAAAGAGUAACAGAGUUGGUGAAACUCAAGAUGGAAAAGACUUUUUCAUACAGAAGACAUGAAGUUGUUCGUGAUGCACCAAUGGUGGAGGCUUUCAUGGCAAGAUGGCCUGCUCUAUUUGAUUUCCAUGAGGUAAGGUUUGCCUCAUACACGGUGUUCUGGUGGUAUUAACCUAAAAUGGUUAAGGCACAGUUGUUAUUUGACAGCCCAUUUCUUCAGCAUGAGUGAUUGCAGCCUUCUUCCAGGUAUUAAACCUUUGAAGCUAUUCCUCUGUGCUCAUGUUUUCAGAUCAACGCUGAGUUUAAGAGAAUUGCCACCAUCCCCCCUCAAACACAGUUCCCGGCUCAGCUGGAUCUCCGCUUGGACAACCUGGUGAAGUUGGUCAAUAGAAGAGGAGAGCUUGGACUAAUACUGAAAAGAAUUGUGGCACAAAUGGAUAAUUGUGAAGAUGAUGAUGCUGAGUGUGUCAAGGGAGUGUGUAUCUACAUGGGUGAAGACCCUGGCAUGCUUAUCCGGGAGUAUGUGGGCAUGGAAGAACGCGCCAUCAAUGAGACUGUUGAAGACACCACUGUUGGAAUUUAUCUUCUUAAAGAGCAAGCUUCAGCAGAAGAACAAGAGUUGUCCUUGCAGGCAUCAGGGUGGCGAAGAAUUUGGAUAAUGAAGCCUUUGCUGUGAUAAUGCUAUUUGGACUCAUGUAUGCAUUAAACCUUGCCUACCCUGCUGACCUCUGCUACAACUUUGACGUUUUCCAGAAGGUUUUCAUGGAACUGGAUGGAGCUAAACUCUCUAAAGUUCUUGCUUUCAAAAACCAUCUGUUUCAUUGAGAAGUCAGAGACUGCACUUCUGCAAUUCUUUGCAGUUUUUCAUUUUGUGUUCAGUAACGUUAUACUGCUUAUGUUUUUAUUGCUUUCCCCUCAUGUGACUGCAAUGCAGGAAGAUUUUUCUUUCUGGUAUCAUGUUGUAAGAAAUUUUUACUGAUGUUUUUUAGCAAUAUGUUCUGAGUCAACCUUAAUAUCCUGCUUACAUGUUUAAAAGGAAGAUUUAAAUUCAUAUAGGUGUUUGGUAUUAGUUAUGUAACAAUGUCAUUUAAGGCUCAACUUAGUUGAAAUGUUGUACAGGUAAAUACUUGUACAGAAGCUGAAACUGUUGUCAAAUAAUACACAAGUUAUAUUUGUGUAAAUCUGUUUAUUCAUAAAAGUGUGUUGCUUUUUUUCAGGUAGUCUUAAUUUAGUUUAAAUUUUCAAUUGUGUAAUUAAUACAAAUGUUAUAUGUAAGAGAUGACAGGAUCAUCUAUAAGCACUUUGUUUUAUUUGCUGCUAAGGUCAGUUUUUUGUGAAAUAUUUGCAAAUGUUUUAAAUUUUUCUUUUAGUUAUUUCUGCAGGCUAUCUUUAAAAAUGUGUUAACAAGUUUAUAUGGAUGUGAAUUUGGACUUGUUCAAAGCUUGCUGCUUUCACUGCUGUUACAGUUUAAUAAAGGUGAAUUGUUCAGUAGCACUCACAGUCUUUGCCUUUUUUGUCAAUAAUGAUCACUUAAUAUUUCAAUUGAAAAAAUCAAGUAGGAUUUAAAGCCAUAAUUUGUGUUGCAGGGACAUAAUUGCAAUGUGUUUACAUUACACAAUAUCAUUGCGUACCACUGGCAAUUAAAAAUAAGUUGAUGUUAAACAUUAAAAUGUAUUGACAUUAUGCAAUACAUUGAUGUUAUGGUAACAGAUUAAUAUUAGUACAUCAAACAUGAUUUUUUAAAGUAAUCUGAUGUAAAUAAAAUACUUUGAUUUGACAAGCAUUAAUUACUUGAGGGAUAGUGGAAAAUUAAGUCAGUCAUACUUAUUCAUAUUAUGUGGGACCGAUGUACACAAUAAAAUCAAGUAAAUUGAAAGAACUUUUUUUUUCAGUGUAUAACUCUGUGUUUUUGUGCCAAAUAAAGAUUUGUGUAAAGCAAACUCAACCGUCUCCACAUGUGGUCCAGCACUUGAGUCCAGUUUCAUACAGGCCUUUGGCCCCUUGUGACUCUUUCCAAAGUCAGUAAGAUUUUGAGAAAGUAAAAAACAAAAAAAAAACAAAAAAAAAACAAAACCCCAAUUUGUCUUAAAACAAUGGUGAAAGUGUUUUAUGAAGUGUCUUUUGCAUAGAUCUGUUUGUGUUGUGAAUUAUGACUUACAUAUUUUGAGAACUGCAUUAUCUCUCAAAAUGAGAAUGAUGUUCCUGAUGUAAGACUUUCACCAAAGCAACUGAGAAAAGCUGUGAUGGGAAAAUAUUUACUGAAGUUCAUUUAACUGUUCAUGAAUAAAUGUAAGUUAAGUGUUUUAAAAAAUGUGUGUGUGUGUGUGUGUGUGUGUGUGUGUGUGUGUGUGUGAGAAACGAUGUCAAAAGCAAACCAAAGUAACACAUGGUGAUAAACCCUAAUUGAAGCUUAAUAUUUGCCAGUUAAAAUCCUUCAACCAACAGCACAGAGCACAGUCUUCUCUACCUGGAAGGAAUUUUCAAAAAUUCCUAAAAUAACAUUAUUUGUAGACAGAAGUCCAAGAUAGAAAUAAAAACUCAUUUUUUAAAAAUACCCCCGUAUGUACAGGCAUUCUUAAAAAAAUGCUGAAACACUUUCCAGAACUUAAUAUUUUUGUGAAAUUCAAAACAUAACUAGAGAGAAUCAGAAUCAGAAGUAUUUUUGAAUUUUGUCAUGGAUCGCUGUGUGCAGGACUCAUAGAGGCAAAUGUGAAGUCAAAAGAGCUUUAAUGCUGAACUCUAAAUCAGUGGUUCUUAACCUUGUUAGAGGUACCGAACCCCACCAGUUUCAUAUGCGCAUUCACUGAACCCCACU
ensembl:lncRNA